rnacentral:lncRNA from 1 species
UGUGAUGGCGUGGAUCGAUCAGAGCAAAGGGGGGAGAAGACAAACCCUAACUUCAUGAAAUUCUCAAGAAUUGAAAGAGAUUAGGAGCCCAAACUAAUGCAUGAACUCGAAACCUCAAUCAUCUAAGCUUGUACAACAAGCGGAACGUGUCAAGGAGAGGUCAAGCAUAGGAGGAUAACGGGUCAAGAUAAGGCAAGAUGACAAAUACACUUAUUGGAGUACUCGAGGUAAGUGAAUUUCGAUUCACUUUUUAGUAGGUUUAAUAGAAUUUAAUACUUAUGUUUACGAAACAUCAUGAAAGAACAUGUAAUAAUCAGAAGUACAAAGCCA